GCUGGAAAUCAGACUUAUAUAUUGAAUAUUGAGCACCUUUAAUCCUCAAAAGCAGUUAAAUAAUGUAAUUUAAAAUCACCUGAACUUUUCCAUAAUUUUAUGAAGUUUGAAAUAUCUUUUCCUUUUGGCAAAAAAUGAAAAAG